rnacentral:lncRNA from 10 species
AUUGUUUUGUACUUUUAAUUUAAUUUGAUUAUGAAAACUUUCUAUGUGUUUUUGAAUUUGUGUAACCUUAGACAGAUUGCUAAGCCCAUUUCAUCAUGCAUUAAUAGAAUAGGAUUAGAUAAUCUCUAAGGGCCCUUUUGGCUCUAAGAUUAUAUGAUUAUAAUUAAUGGCACUGCAGAUCUUGUAGAGGGACAUUAAAAUGGACCCAUACCUGAAGUAACUUUUCAAUUGAAUUAGUACUUAGGGAGUUGAGACAGUAGAAACAAGGAAGGCAAAACAGUCUUUCAUAACAGAUCAUAAUAAAUUUGCUAAUAUUAUAGAAAAGUCAUUGGAAACUGUUUAUCCUUUCUUUUUUUUUUAAUAGGACCUUCCC